rnacentral:tRNA from 1 species
UCCCUGGUGGUCUAGUUGUUAGGACUCAAUGCUUUCACCACUGUGGUCCAGGUUCAACCCCUGGCAUAGGAA